rnacentral:lncRNA from 1 species
GCACACUCAGGUUAAGACCAGACCCACAGAUGAGGCGAAGCACCCAUGCUGGGUUUGUGCACCCAGAGACAGUAGGCUGAGCCUCCAAGCCCAUGUCUAGACCACAGAUUUCCCAAGUCCAUCCGUGAUGGCAUUUCUGCCCCAUUUCUAAGCUUUCUUAUGUGCCUGCCCCCUCUAUACACACCUGGGGUUAGCUCCAGAGUCAGGGGGCUCCCAGCCCCACCAGGACCCUUCUCCUAGGCAUUGCUCUGCUGAUUUCCCUUGAAAAUCUCGAUCCUGUAGGUGUGGUGUAAUCAGAGCAAACCUAUAGCAACCCUAACAGGUAAAAGCAGAGCCAAAGGCACCACCUGCCUCUUAUAAACCAGCCUAUCAGGCAGAAUAGGGAAGCAGCAUUUGAGCACAAGACCCAAACCCAAUGCCUUCCUCAGCAAUUUCCCUGCCUCAGAGCAGCUGCCCACCGCUCCACAGCACACCAUUCUUCUAUCUGUUUGUACCGGUGUCACUCAUCAUGGAAGGUGCCGCGAGGACCAGGUACACGACGCUGCAGUCUGUGGACUUUGUGCCACCCAUCACAGAAAGGCUCUCCUCACCCUUCCUACUACUGCCUGCAGGGAACAGAAAGGGAAAUACUUCAAAUGCUCUGGAUCUUCAGGCUCAUCUGAGCUGUAUUCAAGAGUAUCUCCAUGAUGGUCAGUAUUUGUUUCCUCAAAAUGAGAUUGGAGACUCCCACAUAGCUUCUGAGCUGGGGAUUAUGGAAAAUGACUCGAUCCCACACGACUUGACAAAACUGCAAGAGCUAGCUGCAAGACCAAGCAGAGAGGUACAGCAUGGUGGACACCCUAUUAAUAGUUUUAAUAAGUCCACUAGACCAGGAACUCAUAAAGGGGCCUAUUUUUACACACUGUCUACAUCUCACUCCAGAAACCAUGCAGCUCCAGAACAAGCUUUGUUGUGCUUACCAAACACUCAAGUUACAUAUUUCAGCACGGGAGCUCGCACACAAAAGCCUGAAACUCUAGCAAAUCUGUUCCACUGGACCUCUUCUGGUUUGCUGCGUGGGGCUGCCAAGUAUGCGGGCUCAGAACUCCAGCUAGAGGGAAGAGAAGGGACACCAGAUGUCAUCACUCUAAAUCUUGUUCUAUUAUUAUCGUUCAGCCUCCUGGGAGCUAAUACUUUUAAAGCAACAUUUUCGAAAAGAAUUGCAAGUACAUCUGCGGAGAGAAGCUCGGUGACAGCUGAUCAUACUGGUUAAUUAGGCAUCUACAGAAGUGUAGCUUCAGAUGUAGUAACUGCACCCCAUGCUCAGUCCCACUUGAGACAGGGCUAAAUAUGGGAAGCAGAAGAGAUCAGAAUGCCCACUGAAACAUUACUGCUUUUGCUAACACAAAAUGUGAAUUCUGCCAAACGUACUUUCCAUGAGAAAGUUUUGAUUUCGUCAGAAGUUUUUGAUUUCCCAUCACAAAAAAAGUAAAAUUCUUAGCUCGAGGAUGUGCUAACCCAAAUCAUGAAGAGUGGUCAUAACAAAAAUCACGGUGCCUCUUUUCAGCCACAUUUUCCAGUCAUCUUCUCAGUCCUAUUGUCUCCUGGGAGCGGUAAUUCAAGUGCUGUGAGCCCCCCCUUCCCUUUCCUCUUUGGCUCUUGGGCUUGAGCACAUUUUCCACAGUGCACCACAGUAUUCUUUUUAUUUGGACUCCUGCAGCUCAUGAUGGAAAGAGUCAUCUGAAUGGGGAGCGCCAGCCCUGGAGGAGAGCAGAUCACGAGAACCGCAGCUUCCAUGAGUCACCCUGGUAGAUGCAUGGGACACAGAAGACCAGGCCAGCAACUUUCAACAUCUCCUAUUUAAAAACUGCUCUUUGUCCCCGAUCAUGAGGAGAACGCUGCAAGCUUUCUGUUGAUACAAAUCCAGGUUUUUACGCGGCUCUAAUCGAAUUAAAAAUACGCUUUUUGCACGGCCUGCUUCCCGGACGCUUUGAAGCCUCUGAUUCCUCAGCCUGACUCCAUCAGCCCCGUACCAUAUGCAUCUGUGACAAAAUUACUGCUUUCUUUGUUUUAUGAUAUACUAGCAGCGUAGCAUCUGGCAGUGUGGUUUGGGGUUUUUGUUUUAUUUUGACUGGAAAGAAACCUCCCAAACACUCCCGUCAAAUCCAAAAAAGACCUUAAAUCAGCACUUUUUUUUUUCCUUUUUUUUUUUUUUUUAGCUUAUGCACAGAGGACAUGGGAGGAUUUCCUGACUCAUCAAGCGAAGACGCAGCCACGUGCAUGCCAGCGUGCAGGUGGCUGUCACAGGGUGCCACCAGGCUCAAGGGAAGCGGGAACUCCAUUUUCCCUCACCACCCAGCCCCACCAUGUUGUUGGGGAAAGAGCCCGAAAGGAGCCCCAGCCAGGUCCCGGGGCAGUCUGGCAGGAGGCAGAGCUUCUGCAGCACACAGCACUCCUUCCUGUGCUGAGAAGAAAGCUUGCCGACUGCCCAUGUGUGCAGGAGACGUGUCCUCCUCCUUUUUAUCAUUCCCCGUUGUGAACGCCCUGUCAGUGCAACGCGCGUUCCAACAGUGAGUCUCUCGUAGCUCUCCUUAUCUUUAAUUUCCUUCCACUGUAGGCUAUUUUAUGGUGCCUUUCCUUUGCUGGCAAUUUUUUUUCCCCUUUCCCACUUCAGCUGCAAUAGGCAGAUCAGGAUGAAAACUUCUCACAAGUUUAAGGGAGAGGCUGGAGGCAGAAAAUGUCACGCAGGUCAGAGCAGAGGUGCAGGUCAGAGCAAUAAAUAUGCGUGCCCUUCACA